AUUCUUGUUAAAAGACACACACUCAAAAUUGACGUGUACGAUUCGAAAACCCGAAUUUACAGACGUAAACGCGUUAAACUGAACUGGUUUUCGGUAAAGGUUUCAGCUUCAACUCUCGUCGUUGCUCGUGGUAGUCUUGGAAACAGGGAACGAUGCAAAGGUUGGCUUGACAUUCCGGACAAUGAUACUUCGUUUUCCUUCGAAGAGUCCUCCCGUGAGCGUCUAUCGUGUUCCAGCAGUGCUUGCAACCCAGAGCUGGUCCUGGCCGUAACACUGGACAGUGACCGAAUCGCGCCGGUUCCACAACGAUCGAUGGACUGGUGGUCCUCCUGGGGAACUCUGGGUUCGAGUGUUGCCUGUGUAUCCAGUAAUUCCCACUGCUGGAUUGUUGCUGACUAGACAAGAGCGGAUGAGAGUGUUGCUUCAUCAAAUAGGAUGGCUGAGGCACGGUCAACAGGUUCGUCGAGGUGGUCACCGUUAACAGACUAGGCUGGUUCACCAGAAUCGGUUGCGGUGGCGACGAGAUUCUCGUUUCCUCCCAGCUCUUCGACGUCUGUGGCAGGUUCAACGUCGGCGCCGUCAUAUAGAUAGAAGACGAGACGAUAUGAGGUGAAGAUGUCUCGCUGUCUGGCGACAAAUGAUUCGAUUCCUUCUUCACCCGGGGCUGACGCAACAGACGACACCUCUUCGGGCCUACCUGCUUACAGACUACUGGAACGGAAAGGGAAACGAUGUUAGAAGUUGAGAUUAGAGGUGACAUGGAUGAAAGUGGACAUUUAAAACAAAAUUUCUUGAACUUUUUCUUUAAAGCGUCGAUGAUAUUUUAUACGCGGAGGAGGGGAUAAUUUAUUAAAUGCGGUAAUUGCGGCGAUUUAUUUAGUAAUUAGUAAUUGGCUGAGUACUAUAGUUUGUCCAUCAUAAUUAUAAUGUUAUUAUCUAACUUCUUGCAUAGGAUAGUCUAAUUAAAAUAAAAUAGAUAAGAAAGACUCGAUGUUUUGUGUUUCGAAUAUAUUUUAUGAACAGUUUGAUAAAACGUACCGUAAAAUUUAUUGUGUAAAGUAAAUUUCAUGGAAUUUGAUUUCUAGAUAUAUAAAAUUUUGCUGCAAAUAUAGAAACUAAUAAAGUUGUAUAUAAACGAUAUACAAGAUCAUAAGAGGAAUGAGAGAAUUCAAUGGCCAUGAGUAAUUGAAUUAAUUUUGAACAAACUAUAGCACUGAAACUACUGAACACUCACAAUUAGGUGAUAGUGGUUAAAACGUGCUCUUUGUGUAUGCAAACGACAAAAUUUCAUUAAUAUGCGGGCACAGAUAUUUCCUGCUGAAAGAGUUAGAUGGUGUUUCGCAAAUAAAAAAGUUUAUUUUUUAUACAGAAAAAUCGCUACAUAAAUAAAGAUAUAAA
rnacentral:misc_RNA from 1 species